AUAUUCUCGGACUUGGUCAAGGGACCAUUCCAAGAUCUAUCCUACAUGCCCUGAUCGGAGACGCUAAGCUCCCGUGGUUGUGGCCCCAGUCACAAACAUUAUAAUAGCGAGGAUAGGGCUAACAUGGAAGUCAACGCUUCCACACUUCUACCAAACCCUAGCAACCACAAAAUACAAAGGACUCAAACUCCUAUUUAGCGCCUUAGUAAAUAGAAAUCUCCCAAUCAAACCCAUAACACCGAUAGAUCUUAACGGACAUCGCUGACCAAUGAGGCUCCACCCCAUGAUCCAACAAACAUACAAGGAGGAGGGGCAAGAUCAAGAUGGAGGGGCUCAACUCCUAGGCCCAUCCCCUAUCUCUUCUGCCAAUACGACUACCAUCCACCUAAAUCCUGAAGCAGGUACCUUCGGACAUGGACCUUUCGAACUUGAGUCAAAAUCACUGUAUGAAGAAACACAAGGGGAACGAAGGAUGGAACAGAGCCGAAGCUGUGCGCAAGGGAGCUUCGGCAUGAUGACAGGAAAAGGAAACCGACUUAAAGAGGAAAAGGCUAUCUAGACCCCGAUUAAUUACUAUAGAGUUAUUAUCAAAUGCAAGGGGCCUGGAUGUAAUUUUACAUGGGCUACGACCCGUGCCUAUAAAUAGAUGAACAGUACUACGCUAACUGGGAAUUUGCUUUUGCGCCACACUUGUACCUUUUACUUCUUGCAAGCCGAAGGUACACUUGUAAUAAAUUAUUAUCUUUAUUUAUUCAUGAUAAUAACACAAAAAUAAUACAAUAAUGAUAACAUAUUUAA